ACAUAAAAAGCUACUGUACACUCUUCAUUUCCAACCACCACCUCUUCCUAUCUUCUCCCGCCCCUCUCCUUCCACACAUCAACUACCAGCAACAAAAUUAACAAAUUCCCACUUCACAUGUUUGGAUUUGUAAACGUUGAGGGUUCCGAUUUGUAAACAUAGGCUUCUAUUGGAAACUAGGGUUCCGAUUUGAAAAGGAUUUUGCUAUCAGCAAGUAUCAACCGAUUCAUCCUUCACAUCUCCAUCCCUCUGCUAUAUUUUUUUGGCCAAACCGGGGUGAAAAGCGCAGAGGCGGAGGUUAUAAACAACGAGGUUGCUGCCGAUGACGGGAGACCUUCAUCUCCGCCAGAUGGUGAGGAGGAGUUCAUUGAUGAUGAUGGGACUGUGUACAAGUGGGACAAGACGCUUAGAGCCUGGGUUCCUCAGCCAAGAUGACUGAUGGUCGAGCAGCGACCCCGGCGGGACUUAUUUCAGCAUAGCACAUGCUUUUGCACUAUUUGUUGCGGUUUCGGUUGGUGCUAACAUAUCAUGGGGUCAUGUGAACCCAACUGUGACAUUCGGCUUGUUUGUUGGUGGCCACAUUUCGCUUUUGAGGAGUGUCUUGUAUUGGAUUGCUCAGUU